rnacentral:rRNA from 1 species
CCUACGGGUGGCUGCAGUGGGGAAUAUUGGACAAUGGGCGAAAGCCUGAUCCAGCCAUGCCGCGUGUGUGAAGAAGGCCUUCGGGUUGUAAAGCACUUUCAGUGGGGAAGAAAGCCUUGGGGCUAAUACCCUCGAGGAAGGACAUCACCCACAGAAGAAGCACCGGCUAACUCCGUGCCAGCAGCCGCGGUAAUACGGAGGGUGCGAGCGUUAAUCGGAAUUACUGGGCGUAAAGCGCGCGUAGGCGGUCUGAUAAGCCGGUUGUGAAAGCCCCGGGCUCAACCUGGGAACGGCAUCCGGAACUGUCAGGCUAGAGUGCAGGAGAGGAAGGUAGAAUUCCCGGUGUAGCGGUGAAAUGCGUAGAGAUCGGGAGGAAUACCAGUGGCGACGGCGGCCUUCUGGACUGACACUGACGCUGAGGUGCGAAAGCGUGGGUAGCAAACAGGAUUAGAUACCCCAGUAGUC